GGGUGAGUAGCUCAGUUGGUUUAGAGCACCUCGUUUACACCGAGGGGGUCCGGGGUUCGAAUCCCUGUUCACCCACCA
rnacentral:tRNA from 2 species